rnacentral:rRNA from 1 species
CCGGCGAUGUCCGAAUGGGGAAACCCAGUGCAAUUCGUUGCACUAUCGUUUGAUGAAUACAUAGUCAAACGAGGCGAACCGGGGGAACUGAAACAUCUAAGUACCCCGAGGAAAAGAAAUCAACCGAGAUUCCCCCAGUAGCGGCGAGCGAACGGGGAGCAGCCCAGAGCCUGAAUCAGCAUGUGUGGUAGUGGAACGGUCUGGAAAGGCCGGCGAUACAGGGUGACAGCCCCGUACACAAAAUUGCAYGUGUUGUGAGCUCGAUGAGUAGGGCGGGACACGUGGUAUCCUGUCUGAAUAUGGGGGGACCAUCCUCCAAGGCUAAAUACUCCUGACUGACCGAUAGUGAACCAGUACCGUGAGGGAAAGGCGAAAAGAACCCCGGCGAGGGGAGUGAAAAAGAACCUGAAACCGUGUACGUACAAGCAGUGGGAGCCUCUUAAUGGGGUGACUGCGUACCUUUUGUAUAAUGGGUCAGCGACUUAUAUUCUGUAGCAAGGUUAACCGAAUAGGGGAGCCGAAGGGAAACCGAGUCUUAACUGGGCGUUAAGUUGCAGGGUAUAGACCCGAAACCCGGUGAUCUAGCCAUGGGCAGGUUGAAGGUUGGGUAACACUAACUGGAGGACCGAACCGACUAAUGUUGAAAAAUUAGCGGAUGACUUGUGGCUGGGGGUGAAAGGCCAAUCAAACCGGGAGAUAGCUGGUUCUCCCCGAAAGCUAUUUAGGUAGCGCCUCGUGAAYUCAUCUUCGGGGGUAGAGCACUGUUUCGGCUAGGGGGUCAUCCCGACUUACCAACCCGAUGCAAACUGCGAAUACCGAAGAAUGUUAUCACGGGAGACACACGGCGGGUGCUAACGUCCGUCGUGAAGAGGGAAACAACCCAGACCGCCAGCUAAGGUCCCAAAGUCAUGGUUAAGUGGGAAACGAUGUGGGAAGGCUCAGACAGCCAGGAUGUUGGCUUAGAAGCAGCCAUCAUUUAAAGAAAGCGUAAUAGCUCACUGGUCGAGUCGGCCUGCGCGGAAGAUGUAACGGGGCUAAACCAUGCACCGAAGCUGCGGCAGCGA